GUGACCGAUUGCGAGGUUCAAUUUCCUGAAACAACUCCCCAGGUAACCCAGACCCUAGGAAGGGCCCAAAUAUUGGACCCCCACCCCCACAGGACCCAAAUAUUGGACCCCCAACCCCUCACCUACACACACAAGGAUCUCUGAGAACCCCCCCCCCAACUCAAGAAAAUGCAGAAGCCUAACAGGAGCCACCCAUGCCAAGGACCCCAGACCUUGGAGGGAGGGCUAAUAUUUGGGCGGCAGGGCCCUUUUUCCUGCUGUCUCCACCCUCUUCUCUGUCCUCUCACUGGUCCCCUCUCCAUUUUUGGGUCACUGGAUGUGUUUAGGCUCCAGGGAGGUUAUGUAGGGCAGGUCCUGGUUCCUUGGGGGAAUGGAUGAAGCCUGACGCAGCGACAGCGCGGGUCGCCAGGUCUCACGUCACGUGGACCGCGAGGCCGGCCAGCAAUUGGCCUCCGCUCGCUGCUCCUGAGGCGGCGCCGCCUGAAAGGACAGGCCUCAUCACGUGACGGCGGGUCGCCGCAGCGGCGUUCCCCUGCCAGCAACCGGUUGAGGAUUCACGGAAAUGGGCGGGCCGCUGGGGCGCACGACCUCAGAUAAAGCUGCCG
rnacentral:lncRNA from 1 species